CCUACGGGCGGCAGCAGUGGGGAAUCUUCCGCAAUGGGCGCAAGCCUGACGGAGCAACGCCGCGUGAGUGAAGAAGGUCUUCGGAUCGUAAAGCUCUGUUGAUGGGGACGAACGUACGGAGUGCGAAUAGUGCUCUGUAAUGACGGUACCUAUCGAGGAAGCCACGGCUAACUACGUGCCAGCAGCCGCGGUAAUACGUAGGUGGCGAGCGUUGUCCGGAAUCAUUGGGCGUAAAGGGAGCGCAGGCGGGCAUGUAAGUCUUUCUUAAAAGUUCGGGGCUCAACCCCGUGAUGGGAAAGAAACUACAUGUCUUGAGUACAGGAGAGGAAAGCGGAAUUCCCAGUGUAGCGGUGAAAUGCGUAGAUAUUGGGAGGAACACCAGUGGCGAAGGCGGCUUUCUGGACUGCAACUGACGCUGAGGCUCGAAAGCCAGGGGAGCGAACGGGAUUAGAUACCCGGGUAGUC
rnacentral:rRNA from 1 species